UUUAUCAAGUCAUAACGAGGGUUGUUGUCAGCACCGUUACUAGAAGCUUUCUUAAUCCACACCCAUUUGUAAAGACAUGUCUUGUGGAAAACAUGACGGCAAGCUAGCUCAACCACCUCACGAAAAUGGUUUGGGUUUUGGAAAAUGUAUUCAUCACCACAUAAAGCACAUGAGGUAUAUCAUGAACAUCACCUACUGGAUCUUCAUAGUACUGUCUAUCCCAUCCUAACUCGGGUGUCAUAACUUCGACCUUACCACGUGCUACGUCAGCUCGCAAGCUGUGCAACCUCCUGCUACUGUUCCUCAUAAAUGCGUCAGAAUCUUCAGCGUAUCUGGCUAACGCAUACGAAAUGUUAUUCCAGUUAACAUCAUACACAAAAAAACUCACGGAGGGUCAUCCCGCUAGGACUUCUUCAGCAUCCCCCAAUUCCGGUUCACGGAAAAGGAGCUCUGUACGAAGUCGCGCUCGCCCGUCCUUCGCACUUUGCGGUAACCAUUCAUUUAGAAUUUCCCCACGGCUCGAGUAAACAGUUUGCUCCACUAACAAAUUGGGGCGAUUGGCUUCGCGGAAAAUGAGUCGCCUGAACACUCUUGCGUCCACUGCAAUAAAGCAUCCAAAUGGGCUUUGCGAUCGGAGAGUGAUAUUUGUGCCGUAAAUCUCUGUUACUCUCUCGUGCAGAUAAUCUGGAUCCAUGAUAUGAAAAAGAGAGUGAAGAAGAUAAUGAGAGGUUGUUGGUUUAUAAAAUGGUAGUGUCUCUAUGUGUGCAUUUAUAGAGGCAUGAGAUACAAAAAAAAAAAAAUUAAUCACGUAUAGUUCUAUUAUUCUUGUGUACCGGAAUUUUGAGUGGUCAAGUCUCAGUGUACCUUCUAGGUCGUGCACUAUUCAGCUCCAUCAUUUGUAAUCUUCUUGGAUGUGCACCAUUCUUUGCCUUUUCUUUUAUGAAUUCACAUGUCGCAAGCAUGUAAUUGUACUUCCUGGCAUUAUGUUUGCCUUUCUUUUUUCCUUUUUAAAGUGAUUUUGGAUUAUCAAAUUAGUGAAACUCGUUUUUAAUAUAUGAGUAGUUUAUCUAUUAAAAAUAAUUAACCUAGUUAUACUUCUGGUUGAAAGAUUUUACAGAGCAUUUGGUUGUGAUCUUCUUAUAGAAUAUGAAGAAUCAAUUGAUGUUAAUCUUAAUUCGCUCUUCCUAGUAAAGAAAGGCAAGACUCUGUUCACAGUGGACUUCAGGUUUUUAUACCUCAAGCAUCCUGUUUAUGUCACUCAAGGAUCUUACACAAACAUCAAGGUUACAACACCUUACGAUUUACUGCUUGCUGAGAGAAUCUUGUGCAUGGACUCAUGAGGCUGUCGUGGGUAGCAGCACACAUGGCUGUGCAAAUCUACAAUAUACAAGAAGACAAAACGUUGGUGUUUAGUAGUGUCCUUUCCAAAGAAGCCUCAGCCUGAGUUUCCCAUCUUAUCGGCUCUCUUGAUGAUCUAAUCAUCGUCUUACAUCCUUUCAUCUAUUGUUGUUUAGUAGUGUCCUUUUAUUUUUUCUCCUUGUGUUUAAUUUCUACCUGGAUUAAGGGUUGAACCUUGUUUAUCAAGUAAUUGAUUCAGAAUAAAUUAAUUAUGUUUUCUGAA